rnacentral:misc_RNA from 1 species
UGGCUCCGGCCUCGAUGAAGAACGCAGCGAAAUGCGAUAAGUAAUGUGAAUUGCAGAAUCCAGUGAAUCAUCGAAUCUUUGAACGCACAUUGCGCCCCCCGGCAUUCCGGGGGGCAUGCCCGUCCGAGCGUCAUUGCACCCCGUCAAGCCUUCGGCUUGGUGUUGGGCCGCGCCCCUUCCGUGCUCACGGGGGGGGCGGGCCCCAAAGGUAGUGGCGGUCCGGGGGCGACCACCAGCGCGAUGGCACACCUCCACGCUGGGCGCGAGUCGCGUCGGAUCGGCGCCAGGCAACCCCGAUGCAGCAUCCAGGUUGACCUCGGAUCGGGCAGGGAUACCCGCUGA